UACGGAGGGUGCAAGCGUUAUCCGGAUUCACUGGGUUUAAAGGGUGCGUAGGCGGAUAUGUAAGUCCGUGGUGAAAUCUCUGGGCUUAACCCGGAAACUGCCAUGGAUACUAUGUGUCUUGAAUGUUGUUGAGGUGAGCGGAAUAUGUCAUGUAGCGGUGAAAUGCUUAGAUAUGACAUAGAACACCAAUUGCGAAGGCAGCUUACUACACAGUUAUUGACACUGAGGCACGAAAGCGUGGGGAUCAAACAGG
rnacentral:rRNA from 1 species